AUUGAACGCUGGCGGCAUGCCUUACACAUGCAAGUCGAACGGCAGCGGGGGAGAAGCUUGCUUUUCCUGCCGGCGAGUGGCGAACGGGUGAGUAAUACAUCGGAACGUGCCCUGUAGUGGGGGAUAACUAGUCGAAAGAUUAGCUAAUACCGCAUACGACCUGAGGGUGAAAGUGGGGGACCGUAAGGCCUCAUGCUAUAGGAGCGGCCGAUGUCUGAUUAGCUAGUUGGUGGGGUAAAGGCCUACUAAGGCGACGAUCAGUAGCUGGUCUGAGAGGACGAUCAGCCACACUGGGACUGAGACACGGCCCAGACUCCUACGGGAGGCAGCAGUGGGGAAUUUUGGACAAUGGGCGAAAGCCUGAUCCAGCAAUGCCGCGUGUGUGAAGAAGGCCUUCGGGUUGUAAAGCACUUUUGUCCGGAAAGAAAUGGCUCUGGUUAAUACCUGGGGUCGAUGACGGUACCGGAAGAAUAAGGACCGGCUAACUACGUGCCAGCCGCCGCAGUAA
rnacentral:rRNA from 1 species